AGGAGGACUAACAGGACCUGGACAUUGCUCAGAGCACCCUGUAUAGAGAUGUAAUCCUAGAGACCUACAGCAACCUGGUAUCCUUGGGGAACUGUGUUGCUAAACCUAAAUUGAUUGUCAAGUUGGAGCAAGGUGCAGAACCAUGGAUAGGAGACACCUCAGACAAGAAUUUCACAUAUGUUUAAGAAAUGGAAGACACGAUUAAUCCUGCCAAGAAAGUCCAGAUGAAUGUCUGUGUGAAGUAGCAGUCAUGAAUAGUAA